rnacentral:rRNA from 1 species
UACAGAGGGUGCGAGCGUUAAUCGGAAUUACUGGGCGUAAAGGGUGCGUAGGUGGUGGCAUAAGUUAGGUGUGAAAGCCCCGGGCUCAACCUGGGAAUUGCAUUGGAAACUGGCGGGCUUGAGUGUGGCAGAGGGGGGUGGAAUUCCACGUGUAGCAGUGAAAUGCGUAGAGAUGUGGAGGAACACCGAUGGCGAAGGCAGCCCCCUGGGCUAACACUGACGCUCAGGCACGAAAGCGUGGGGAGCAAACAGG